UACAGAGGCCUCGAGCGUUUAGGCGGAAUCACUGGGCUUAAAGCGUGUGUAGGCGGACUUCUAAGUACCUUGUGAAAUCCCACGGCUCACCCGUGGAACUGCUCGGUAUACUGGUCGUCUUGAGCCUUCUAGGGGCGAGUGGAACAAAUGGUGGAGCGGUGAAAUGCGUAGAUAUCAUUUGGAACGCCAAUGGUGAAAACAGCUCGCUGGGGGUGUGCUGACGCUGGAGACACGAAAGCCAGGGGAGCGAACGGG
rnacentral:rRNA from 1 species